AGUGAACGCUGGCGGUAGGCCUAACACAUGCAAGUCGAACGGCAGCACAGUAAGAGCUUGCUCUUACGGGUGGCGAGUGGCGGACGGGUGAGGAAUACAUCGGAAUCUACUUUUUCGUGGGGGAUAACGUAGGGAAACUUACGCUAAUACCGCAUACGACCUACGGGUGAAAGCAGGGGAUCUUCGGACCUUGCGCGAUUGAAUGAGCCGAUGUCGGAUUAGCUAGUUGGCGGGGUAAAGGCCCACCAAGGCGACGAUCCGUAGCUGGCCUGAGAGGAUGAUCAGCCACACUGGAACUGAGACACGGUCCAGACUCCUACGGGAGGCAGCAGUGGGGAAUAUUGGACAAUGGGCGCAAGCCUGACCCAGCCAUACCGCGUGGGUGAAGAAGGUCUUCGGAUUGUAAAGCCCUUUUGUUGGGAAAGAAAAGAAGCAGGUUAAUACACCGAUGUUCUGACGGUACCUAAAGAGUAAGCAACGGCUAACUUCGUG
rnacentral:rRNA from 1 species